rnacentral:tRNA from 1 species
GCCUGGGUGGCUCAGUUGGUUGAGCGUCCGACUUUGGCUCAGGUCAUGAUCUCACGGUUCGUGGGUUUGAGCCCCGUGUCGGGCU